UAGGGAAUCUUCCACAAUGGGCGCAAGCCUGAUGGAGCAACACCGCGUGAGUGAUGAAGGGUUUCGGCUCGUAAAACACUGUUGUAAGAGAAGAAUGACAUUGAGAGUAACUGUUCAAUGUGUGACGGUAUCUUACCAGAAAGGAACGGCUAAAUACGUGCCAG
rnacentral:rRNA from 1 species